GGUUGCUCCUCAUAGAGUUUCUUACAGGCCUACAACACCAUAGAGAGAAAAGGAGAGCAGAAGACCCUCUAAGAGUUUUAAGGAUGUGAACAGAUCUGCUGUUUUCCACAUCUGCUAUCUUGGAAACAUAUGAAAGCUUUCAUCGUCUCAGAGAAACCUUUUCUAUAUUCACUAAAAUGUGCCUAGAGAAGUGGGAUGUAGACUUUGCCUUGAGCAUCUGCAUUUGGAUUGCCUCAGAUGAUGAGAUAACCUGCAAUGAGUGACAUAAUUGAUUUUUGUGUGUCCAUUUGCUUUGAGUUUUCUCAGUACAGCUAUCUUCCCUUAUCAGGGAGGCAUCAUUAACUAGCACUAAUUGGAUUUGGCUCUGGACUGAAUGGGAAGACAGACAAGUUGUGUUGGUAUUCUGACUUAUUUGGAGCACUUUUAAAUUGAGCUCAAAAAAAAAAAAAA